rnacentral:rRNA from 1 species
CGUGAGAUGUUGGGUUAAGUCCCGCAACGAGCGCAACCCCUAUCUUAUGUUACCAGCACGUUAUGGUGGGGACUCAUGAGAGACCGCCGCGGACAACGCGGAGGAAGGUGGGGAUGACGUCAAGUCAUCAUGCCCCUUAUGACCUGGGCUACACACGUACUACAAUGGGUGUCAACAAAGAGAAGCGAAGCCGCGAGGCAGAGCAAACCUCAAAAACACACCCCCAGUUCAGAUUGCAGGCUGCAACCCGCCUGCAUGAAGUCGGAAGUCGCUAGUAAUC